rnacentral:miRNA from 13 species
UGCAUCACGUGUAACCUCCCCA